GCCGCCGUAACGUAGCCUGGUAGCGUACGGGCCUGUGGAGCCCGGAGGCCGGGUUCAAAUCCCACAGCUUGGCCGACGGGGGGAUCUCCCGGCGGCGGCC
rnacentral:tRNA from 1 species